CGCAGCAGCCCCUGGAGGGCGGGCGGCCGCUGCGCCGGGCGACCCAGGUGCCGCAGCGCCGGGGCUGUGCGCCCUGGCCCCGGCCUCCGGACCCCGCUCACCGCCGUGGCGCGCCCCCGGGAUUCCGUCCCCCACACGGGGAGCGCUCCCUAAAGGGGGGUCUCCGCGUUUCUGAGCUGCGUCAGGGCCCGCGUACUGCCGCCUCCCCCGGGGUACACUAGCCUAGGUUCUGGAGGGUGAAGUCAGCCCCGCUGAGUGAGAAGAGGCUUGAAUCAUCAGUUACCUGGUCGUCUUGGGGCUGCUGUAGUAUGCAGUGAGAUACGGUUGUUUAUGUAAAGAACUUAGCUCAAGGCCCGGCACGCUCCAGACAGGUGAGCUGCCAUCACCCUCGACUGCCGCGGCUGCUCCCACCACCACUACUUCAUCAUCAUCACGGAGUCUUGGUUGCCUUGCUAGUGAAGCCAAGGAGUUCAGGGGUUGCUGUAGACGAUCUCCAUGUUUCCUCGCAGCUGCAACUUUCCAACGUCUACCUCAACACUGAUCACUCUACUCAAAUCUAGGGGGUACCUGCUGGAGUUUUUGUAUAUCUUAGUUGCAGGUCCUUCUAGUUGUGGGAUGUGGGACGCCGCCUCAACGUGGCCUGAUGAGCGGUGCCAUGUUCGCGCCCAGGAUCAGAACCCGGGCCGCCACAGCGGAGUGCGCGAACUUAACCACUUGGCCACGGAGCCGGCCCCAAAAGUUCACCUUCUUAAACCUCAGAAUCUGACUAUGAGAAUGAUGGCUCUGCUCCAAAACACUGGACCACUCAUCCCCACGCUAAAUGUUACCACACCUAUUUGGGACUUGAACUCAAUCAUUUAUCCACUCAUGUAACAAACCUUCCUGGAACCCUUACCAUAUGGCCAGUUUUUGCCAGGGUCCCAAUGAUGCAAAGUAGAAUAAUGUAUUGCCAUGUCUAAUCUUCAACUAGAUUCAGUUCCAUAAAAGAAGAAAUGGGACACUCUACAUUUUUGUGUCCUCCCCAAUGCUAGGGAUAGGGUUUUAAAGUGGCCACCACCAUCUUAAACGCUCUUUGGAUUCUUAUAUGUGGUCUCCUUUCCCACCCCUAGAACCAGCCAAGCUUAGAAGCCGUGUGUCUGUCUGCUCUGCUAGUGUCUAUUCAUGUUUAAAUUUUCUCACAAUUCUUACCAAAUAUUACAGUUCCUUGUAUAUAAUAAUUUUGAAAUUAAAAAAUAAGUCACACACAUUACAGGCUCAAUACAAAUCGUGUUCAUUGAUUCUUUGCCCAACCAAAUAGUAAACUCACUUCUUGGGUAUCAACACACGCACACAUACCCAGGUGAGAGUAGGCACCCAUUCACUGGCACAUUCUCUAAACUUCUUUGGUGUGGGAAAGCAAUCAAACUUCCCCCUCAAAGAGGAAAUCAGUAAGAACUGGGUUAAUAUAGUUCUCUUAGGCUCCAAAGUUUUGUUUGCAAAGGUCAGUGAUCUGGGCAUCUCUCUGUC
rnacentral:lncRNA from 1 species